rnacentral:rRNA from 1 species
UGAGGAAUAUUGGUCAAUGGGCGCGAGCCUGAACCAGCCAAGUCGCGUGAGGGAUGACGGCCCUACGGGUUGUAAACCUCUUUUGUCGGGGAGCAAAUUCCGCCACGUGUGGCGGAGUCGAGAGUACCCGAAGAAAAAGCAUCGGCUAACCUCCGUGCC